rnacentral:piRNA from 1 species
UAGGCAUUUGGUUUGUUUGCUUUGUCGGA